GCCCCGCCACCGGAUGAGAAGAAAGCCCCCCGGGGGGGGGGCGGGGAAGGAGGGGAGAUAAAUACUGGAACUUAAAUGGCUGAAAUGCUUCGGACAACACAAAGAGGAGCAGAAGAAGUAGUCAGAGUGAAACUAAAAACCAAGGAGUAGCUGAAGCCCUGAGAGCAGCACUCUGCUGUGAAUGAUCAGAAUUCAUCGUUUUGACAACAACGCCCCUUCUUCUCUCCUCAAUCAUUCCCACUCCGGCUUCCUAUCUCCUGCCCAUCAUAUUUCAGAUCUUUGAGUGUUUGGAUGCGAAUAUGUCAGCUAAAGGGAUGAGAAUAUCAGUAAGUACAGAGGAGGAACUUGGCAGCAGUAUGGAGAGGAAAGAUGCCGCCGAUGACUUUGGAGAACCUGGUAAUAGUUUAAGUCUGGUAUUUUAGUUUAUACGCAUGCUUCUACCGAUAAUGCAAAUUAUAAUGUAUAACUACCUGCAAAUCCCUCAAAAAUAUACAGAUAUAACUACCUGUAAAUCUACAAAGAAAAUGAAGAGGGUGGAGAUUUGUCUGCAAGAAUAGGUAAUAUGACUUAUAUGCAUGAAAUAAUAAGAACAAGUUUAGUUAAAAAAAAUAUGUUACUAUAAAGAAAGGGAAUGGGUAAAGAAAAUACCUUAUGAUAGCUCCAUCCCUGUGACAUACAGUGGUCCGUGGUGAGGAAGGUUUUUUUAGUUCAGUUUUGAAAUUGCACAUAUUCAUGGUUGGCAUUUGGGAAAUUGAUGAACUCGGAUGUUUGAUCAUUUGUUGUUUAGUGUACCAAAGGACUUCCGAAUCAACCAUACUGUAUAUACUAAACAUCUUAACUAUUUUUUGUUGUUUAGUAUACCAGAGGAGCAUGGUUUUUUGCUGUAGUAUUUACUCCAACAGAGGUAGAUGACAAGAAUAAGCGUGAGGAUGUGUAUCUACAAACAGUGUAUCUUAAAAAGUGCUUAACCACAGGGAAUGUAUGAGGAUCACCUUUUGCAAUUUUUUUUUGAUCGGGGUUCAAAACUCAUUUUUAGUUGUUUUAAUCAGCACAAAACGAAUACACAUGCUCUCAAAUUAUUUUUUAUAUAUCAUUUUCUAGGUGAUGGCAAGCUUAAUCAUGACUUU